GAUGAACGCCGGCGGUGUGCCUAAUACAUGCAAGUCGUACGCACUGGCCCAACUGAUUGAUGGUGCUUGCACCUGAUUGACGAUGGAUCACCAGUGAGUGGCGGACGGGUGAGUAACACGUAGGUAACCUGCCCCGGAGCGGGGGAUAACAUUUGGAAACAGAUGCUAAUACCGCAUAAUGCAGUUGGGCCGCAUGGCUCUGACUGCCAAAGAUUUAUCGCUCUGAGAUGGCCUCGCGUCUGAUUAGCUAGUUGGUGGGGUAACGGCCCACCAAGGCGACGAUCAGUAGCCGGACUGAGAGGUUGGCCGGCCACAUUGGGACUGAGACACGGCCCAG
rnacentral:rRNA from 1 species